GAUGAACGCUAGCGACAGGCUUAACACAUGCAAGUCGAGGGGCAGCGGGAGGUAGCAAUACCUUGCCGGCGACCGGCGCACGGGUGCGUAACGCGUAUGCAACCUACCCACCAGUCAGGGAUAACCCGGCGAAAGUCGGACUAAUACCUGAUGAAGCAGGGGCCCCGCAUGGGGAUAUUUGCUAAAGAUUCAUCGCUGAUGGAUGGGCAUGCGUUCCAUUAGGUAGUUGGCGGGGCAACGGCCCACCAAGCCUUCGAUGGAUAGGGGUUCUGAGAGGAAGGCCCCCCACACUGGUACUGAGACACGGACCAGACUCCUACGGGAGGCAGCAGUGAGGAAUAUUGGUCAAUGGGCGAUAGCCUGAACCAGCCAAGUCGCGUGGAGGACGACUGCCCUACGGGUUGUAAACUCCUUUUGCGGGGGAAUAAAGUGAAGGACGCGUCCUUUUUUGCAUGUACCCUGCGAAUAAGCAUCGGCUAACUCCGUGCCAGCCGCCGCCGU
rnacentral:rRNA from 1 species